UACAGAGGGUGCGAACGUUGUUCGGAAUUACUGGGCGUAAAGCGCGUGUAGGCGGUCGUGCAAGUCGGGGGUGAAAGCCCUGGGCUCAACCCAGGAAGUGCAUUCGAUACUGCGCGACUGGAGUCCCGGAGAGGAUGGUGGAACUCUCGGUGUAGAGGUGAAAUUCGUAGAUAUCGAGAAGAACACCAGUGGCGAAGGCGGCGAUCUGGGAAGAUACUGACGCUGAGGUGCGAAAGCGUGGGGAGCAAACAGG
rnacentral:rRNA from 1 species